rnacentral:rRNA from 1 species
GAUGAACGCUGGCGGCGUGCCUAAUACAUGCAAGUCGAGCGAACGGACGAGAAGCUUGCUUCUCUGAUGUUAGCGGCGGACGGGUGAGUAACACGUGGAUAACCUACCUAUAAGACUGGGAUAACUUCGGGAAACCGGAGCUAAUACCGGAUGAUAUUUUGAACCGCAUGGUUCAAAAGUGAAAGACGGUCUUGCUGUCACUUAUAGAUGGAUCCGCGCUGCAUUAGCUAGUUGGUAAGGUAACGGCUUACCAAGGCAACGAUGCAUAGCCGACCUGAGAGGGUGAUAGGCCACACUAGAACUGAGACACGGUCCAGACUCCUACGGGAGGCAGCAGUAGGGAAUCUUACGCAAUGGGCGAAAGCCUGACGGAGCAACGCCGCGUGAGUGAUGAAGGUCUUCGGAUCGUAAAACUCUGUUAUUAGGGAAGAACAUAUGUGUAAGUAACUGUGCACAUCUUGACGGUACCUAAUCAGAAAGCCACGGCUAACUACGUG